AGAGGGGGCAAGCGUUGUUCGGAAUUACUGGGCGUAAAGGGCGCGUAGGCGGCCUGUUAAGUCGGACGUGAAAUCCCUCGGCUCAACCGGGGAACUGCGUCCGAUACUGGCGGGCUUGAAUUCGGGAGAGGGAUGUGGAAUUCCAGGUGUAGCGGUGAAAUGCGUAGAUAUCUGGAGGAACACCGGUGGCGAAGGCGGCAUCCUGGACCGACAUUGACGCUGAGGCGCGAAAGCCAGGGGAGCAAACGGGAUUAGAUACCCCGGUAGUCCUGGCCCUAAACGAUGAGUGCUUGGUGUGGCGGGUAUCGAUCCCUGCCGUGCCGAAGCUAACGCAUUAAGCACUCCGCCUGGGGAGUACGGUCGCAAGGCUG
rnacentral:rRNA from 1 species